rnacentral:rRNA from 1 species
GAUGAACGCUGGCGGCGUGCCUAAUACAUGCCAGUCGAGCGAACGGACGAGAAGCUUGCUUCUCUGAUGUUAGCGGCGGACGGGUGAGUAACACGUGGAUAACCUACCUAUAAGACUGGGAUAACUUCGGGAAACCGGAGCUAAUACCGGAUAAUAUUUUGCACCGCAUGGUUCAAAAGUGAAAGACGGUCUUGCUGUCACUUAUAGAUGGAUCCGCGCUGCAUUAGCUAGUUGGUAAGGUAGCGGCUUACCAAGGCAACGAUGGAUAGCCGACCUGAGAGGGUGAUCGGCCACACUGGAACUGAGACACGGUCCAGACUCCUACGGGAGGCAGCAGUAGGGAAUCUUCCGCAAUGGGCGAAAGCCUGACGGAGCAACGCCGCGUGAGUGAUGAAGGUCUUCGGAUCGUAAAACUCUGUUAUUAGGGAAGAACAUAUGUGUAAGUAACUGUGCACAUCUUGACGGUACCUAAUCAGAAAGCCACGGCUAACUACGUG